rnacentral:rRNA from 1 species
GUUAUUGUUUAUUUGAUACAUCAAAUGGAUAACUGUAGAAAAACUAGAGCUAAUACAUGCUAAGGCCGCAAGGUUGUAUUUAUUAGAUAUUCCGAUAAGGUGAAUCAUAAUAACUUCGCAAAUCUCAUAUUUGUUGAGAUAAAUCAUCCAAGUUUCUGCCCUAUCAUGCUUUCGUUGGUAGUGUAUUGGACUACCAUGGCUCUCACGGGUAACAGGGAAUUAGGGUUCGAUUCUGGAGAAGGAGCCUGAGAAACGGCUACUACAUCUACGGAAGGCAGCAGGCGCGUAAAUUACCCAAUCCUGACUCAGGGAGGUGGUGACAAGAUAUAACAACGAGACUAUAAAUCUCGAUUGUAGUGAGGGUAUUCUAAAUAGAACCUAUAGUACGAUUAGAGGGCAAGUCUGGUGCCAGCAGCCGCGGUAAUUCCAGCUCUAAUAGCGUAUAUUAAAGUUGCUGCAGUUAAAAAGCUCGUAGUUGGAUUUCAAGGAUUGUAUUCUCUUAUGGGUUUACUUCCUACUAGUCAUCUGACUGUUACUGUGAGAAAAUUAGAGUGUUUCAAGCAGGCUUUCGCAAGAAUACAUUAGCAUGGAAUAACGAAUGUAUUUAGAAUCGUGGUUUAAUUCUAAAUUACGAUUAAUAGAGACAGUUGGGGGCAUUAGUAUUUAAUUGUCAGAGGUGAAAUUCUUGGAUUUGUUAAAGACUAACGUAUGCGAAAGCAU